rnacentral:rRNA from 1 species
CCGGGUUGGGGGACUACUCCUUUUAUGGGGAUCGCAAUGGCUUUAUUCGCUAUAUUCCUAUCUAUCAUUUUAGAAAUUUAUAAUUCUUCCGUUUUACUGGACGGUAGCCUCUUCCUAUUUAGGGAGAGGAAAACACUCUACUGUACCAGUAGGCCAAAGACCCGCAAGCUCAACCUGAUGCCUUUGUUAUUGUUCCUUGUUGCUAAAAUAUCGAUAUUAAGCCCGAAACUGCCAGUGGAACUAUUUUCCAUUUCCAGACAGACCCCGAGCCGAGGUUGGAACAAUUCUUUAUUUUCUUGUUGGUUCCUUCUUUAUUAUUUAUUCCAAGUUUUUCUCUUCCAUUCGGUUCAUUAG